rnacentral:rRNA from 1 species
UACGGAGGGUGCAAGCGUUAUCCGGAUUCACUGGGUUUAAAGGGUGCGUAGGCGGGUUGGUAAGUCCGUGGUGAAAUCUCCAAGCUUAACUUGGAAACUGCCGUGGAUACUACUGAUCUUGAAUUUUCAGGAGGUAGGCGGAAUUGACGGUGUAGCGGUGAAAUGCUUAGAUAUCGUCAAGAACACCUAUAGCGAAGGCAGCUUACUAGGCUGUAACUGACGCUGAGGCACGAAAGUGUGGGGAUCAAACAGG